rnacentral:rRNA from 1 species
GAUGAACGCUGGCGGCGUGCCUAAUACAUGCAAGUCGAGCGAACGGACGAGAAGCUUGCUUCUCUGAUGUUAGCGGCGGACGGGUGAGUAACACGUGGAUAACCUACCUAUAAGACUGGGAUAACUUCGGGAAACCGGAGCUAAUACCGGAUAAUAUUUUGAACCGCAUGGUUCAAAAGUGAAAGACGGUCUUGCUGUCACUUAUAGAUGGAUCCGCGCUGCAUUAGCUAGUUGGUAAGGUAACGGCUUACCAAGGCAACGAUGCAUAGCCGACCUGAGAGGGUGAUCGGCCACACUGGAACUGAGACACGGUCCAGACUCCUACGGGAGGCAGCAGUAGGGAAUCUUCCGCAAUGGGCGAAAGCCUGACGGAGCAACGCCGCGUGAGUGAUGAAGGUCUUCGGAUCGUAAAACUCUGUUAUUAGGGAAGAACAUAUGUGUAAGUAACUGUGCACAUCUUGACGGUACCUAAUCAGAAAGCCACGGCUAACUACGUGCCAGCAGCCGCGGUAAUACGUAGGUGGCAAGCGUUAUCCGGAAUUAUUGGGCGUAAAGCGCGCGUAGGCGGUUUUUUAAGUCUGAUGUGAAAGCCCACGGCUCAACCGUGGAGGGUCAUUGGAAACUGGAAAACUUGAGUGCAGAAGAGGAAAGUGGAAUUCCAUGUGUAGCGGUGAAAUGCGCAGAGAUAUGGAGGAACACCAGUGGCGAAGGCGACUUUCUGGUCUGUAACUGACGCUGAUGUGCGAAAGCGUGGGGAUCAAACAGGAUUAGAUACCCUGGUAGUCCACGCCGUAAACGAUGAGUGCUAAGUGUUAGGGGGUUUCCGCCCCUUAGUGCUGCAGCUAACGCAUUAAGCACUCCGCCUGGGGAGUACGACCGCAAGGUUGAAACUCAAAGGAAUUGACGGGGACCCGCACAAGCGGUGGAGCAUGUGGUUUAAUUCGAAGCAACGCGAAGAACCUUACCAAAUCUUGACAUCCUUUGACAACUCUAGAGAUAGAGCCUUCCCCUUCGGGGGACAAAGUGACAGGUGGUGCAUGGUUGUCGUCAGCCCGUGUCGUGAGAUGUUGGGUUAAGUCCCGCAACGAGCGCAACCCUUAAGCUUAGUUGCCAUCAUUAAGUUGGGCACUCUAAGUUGACUGCCGGUGACAAACCGGAGGAAGGUGGGGAUGACGUCAAAUCAUCAUGCCCCUUAUGAUUUGGGCUACACACGUGCUACAAUGGACAAUACAAAGGGCAGCGAAACCGCGAGGUCAAGCAAAUCCCAUAAAGUUGUUCUCAGUUCGGAUUGUAGUCUGCAACUCGACUACAUGAAGCUGGAAUCGCUAGUAAUCGUAGAUCAGCAUGCUACGGUGAAUACGUUCCCGGGUCU